rnacentral:rRNA from 1 species
CGUGUAGGCAGUUGGUCAAGUCUGGUGUGAAAGCCCGGGGCUUAGCCCCGGAAGUGCGCUGGAAACUAGCCAACUUGAGCGCGAUAGAGGAGGGUGGAAUUCCUGGUGUAGCGGUGAAAUGCGUAGAUAUCAGGAGGAACACCGGCGGCGAAGGCGGCCCUCUGGAUCGUUGCUGACGCUGAGACGCGAAAGCGUGGGGAGCAAACAGGAUUAGAUACCCUGGUAGUCCACGCUGUAAACUAUGGGUACUAGGUGUUCGGGGUGUUGACCCCCCUGAGUGCCGACGCUAACGCAUUAAGUACCCCGCCUGGGGACUACGGCCGCAAGGCUAAA